UUUAUUUUUCUGUCCUUCCUGUAAAUUUCUUUUUAUCAACUGCAAUCUGGAAUAAGGAGUCUGUACAAACAAGUCCUUUCUUUCCCCCCCGGGAAGUCCCGGAAGGGAAACCUUCUAGCGUUGUGAUGUAAGUUUUAUCCUUUGUUAAUAUUAUAUUUCUCGAACUCUUCUAUCCAUGGCAUUUUCUUUGCCCCAUGAUUCCCUUUCUUUGGACUCUUAAUGAAAAUUUAUGGGUUCUCUUUGGAUAAUUAUUUCAGCUUAAGCAAGUGUAAAGCAUAUAUGCUUGGCAGAUUUGAUAAGAGUAAUGCUCUGUAAAAUUCGCCAUUGAUAGCCAGAAGUGCUUUGCGGCGUUAGAGCGAGAUUCUCUGAAAACUGUACGCCAAGAGGGUCUUGUGCACCAACACUGUGUCUUAAGUGGUGUUAUCCACAUUAGAAAAUUAAAUUUCAUCAUAAGUCCGAGUUUUAGGAAAAUUGCAUCAUCGAAAAUUUAAUGAGAUAAAGAGUUUUAGAAAUAUAAAAAACAAUCGAAAAAAUUUCUAUCGUAAUUUCUAGAAGGGAGUACCAGACGGGACCUACCUACUUAAAAAGGCUUUAACACAGUUUAUUUUCCACAACGGAGAUUUUAAAUUUGAACUUCAUCCUAUUUUUAUUCAUACUUCAAAUAUCCUUCAAGACAUAUAUUUAUUUCUUUCCUUUCCUUUUUUACUGUGAACUCUCUAUCAAACAAUUUCAUCUAGACAUCCACCUAUCCAUCCCUAUUAAAUUAAUAUUAUUAUUAAAUAUUAAUAAUAAUAUAUAUAGUAUAUUAAUUAUUAUAUAGCCGAAUUUUUGAUUCCGAAUUUUUAAUUGGUGAACGUAUAAUAUCCGUAUAAAUCACGUAUUCGAAUAAUUACCGAAUCCGUUUUUUAGCCGUAUUUUUCAACGAAUUUAAAAAUCAAAAGACGAAUUUUAUCCGAAUUAUACCCGUACCGAAUUUUUGCCGAAUCCGAAUUAACUAACUAUGCUCCAAAAUUAGAAUU
rnacentral:lncRNA from 1 species